AUAAUUCCACCAACAAAGAGACAAGUUCACACAUUGAAGAAAACGAUUUCACCUUUCAAAUAAAAACUUUUGGGCCCUAAAUCAUCUUUGCCAAGUGGACACAGGAGCACAAUAGUGGAGAAACACAGCCGAAAGGUGACGCAUUUUAGCUAUAAACCCUAUCUUGCGCCGCUAUCUUCCACCAUUCUCACAUUCAAUCUAUGGCGACUCAUUGCUUCAACCCAUGCGAUAACAUCUUCAUUUCACCCACUCUCAUUUCCCCAAAACCAAAAUCUAUCCAUUCUUCGUUACUGUCAAUAAACAACACCCAAAUCAGCCACAAAUUGUUCACUUUUUCAACACGCACACCAGGUGUUUGUCAAAAUGUCUGCAGCUCUAAACAGGGUAAUCAAGUGGGUGAAUGUGAAAAAUCUCAAAAACCCAAUGUGGGUAAGAGAACUGACAUUAAAAAGAUUAUGAUUCUGGGUGCUGGGCCCAUUGUUAUUGGUCAAGCUUGUGAAUUUGAUUAUUCGGGUACUCAAGCUUGUAAGGCGUUAAGGGAGAAUGGUUAUGAGGUUGUGCUUAUUAAUUCGAACCCUGCUACUAUUAUGACUGAUCCUGAGAUGGCUGAUCGGACCUACAUUGAACCCAUGACGCCUGAGUUAGUCGAGCAGGUGAUUGCACAAGAGAGACCAGACGCGAUUUUACCCACCAUGGGUGGCCAAACCGCGCUUAAUCUCGCAGUGGCGUUGGCGGAACGUGGGGUGUUGGAUAAGUAUAACGUAGAAUUAAUCGGAGCUAAACUUGAAGCAAUCAAGAAAGCCGAAGAUCGAGAGUUGUUCAAGCAAGCCAUGAAGAACAUCGGGCUCAAAACUCCACCGUCCGGGAUCGGUACUACCCUACAAGAAUGUACGCAAAUAGCCGAAGAAAUCGGCGAGUUCCCGUUAAUUAUCAGGCCCGCUUUUACAUUAGGUGGUUCCGGUGGCGGGAUUGCGUAUAAUAAACAAGAAUUCGAGGCGAUUUGUAAGUCGGGGCUUGCAGCGAGUGUGACGUCACAAGUUUUGGUCGAGAAAUCGUUGUUAGGAUGGAAAGAAUACGAGCUUGAGGUUAUGCGGGAUUUGGCUGACAAUGUGGUUAUCAUAUGUUCAAUCGAGAAUAUCGAUCCGAUGGGUGUGCAUACCGGAGAUUCGAUCACGGUUGCUCCUGCGCAAACGUUGACCGAUAAGGAGUACCAACGGCUUCGUGAUUAUUCUAUUGCGAUUAUUAGGGAGAUUGGAGUUGAAUGUGGCGGUUCUAAUGUUCAGUUUGCUGUUAAUCCUGAUGAUGGGGAGGUUAUGGUUAUUGAGAUGAAUCCUCGGGUUUCGAGGUCGUCUGCGUUGGCGUCUAAAGCUACCGGUUUUCCGAUUGCGAAGAUGGCUGCAAAGUUAUCGGUUGGUUAUUCUUUGGAUCAAAUUCCGAAUGAUAUCACGAUGAAGACACCGGCUAGUUUUGAACCGUCUAUUGAUUAUGUUGUCACAAAGAUACCCAGGUUUGCAUUUGAGAAAUUCCCGGGAUCUCAACCCAUAUUAACAACACAAAUGAAAUCCGUUGGUGAAUCGAUGGCAGUUGGACGCACAUUUCAAGAAUCGUUUCAAAAGGCGGUUAGAUCGCUAGAAUGCGGUUACUCGGGUUGGGGUUGUGCACCGAUAAAAGAGCUCGAUUGGGAUUGGGAGAAACUUAAAUACAGUCUGCGGGUCCCGAACCCGGACCGUAUCCACGCGCUAUACGCCGCAAUGAAACGAGGCAUGAAAGUGGACGCGAUCCAUGAAAUAAGUUUCAUCGACAAAUGGUUUCUCACUCAACUUAAAGAAUUAGUAGACGUUGAGCAAUAUAUCAUGGCAAAAAGUUUAUCUCAGGUCACUAAAGAUGAGUUUUACGAGGUUAAAAAGCGUGGUUUUAGCGAUAAGCAGAUCGCGUUUGCUACAAAGUCGACGGAAAAAGAAGUUCGCGUGAAACGCUUGAGUUUAGGAGUUGUUCCUGCUUAUAAACGUGUCGACACUUGUGCUGCGGAGUUUGAAGCAAACACUCCGUAUAUGUAUUCUUCUUAUGAUUAUGAAUGUGAAUCUGCUCCGACUAAAACGAAAAAAGUUCUGAUUUUGGGUGGUGGGCCCAAUAGAAUCGGUCAAGGGAUUGAGUUUGACUAUUGCUGCUGCCAUGCUUCAUUUGCCCUUCAGGAAGCAGGUUACGAAACUAUUAUGAUGAAUUCAAAUCCGGAGACCGUAUCCACCGACUACGAUACAAGUGACCGUCUCUACUUCGAACCGCUAACAGUUGAAGACGUACUUAACGUCAUCGACAUUGAACAGCCCGAUGGCAUCAUCGUGCAGUUCGGUGGUCAAACCCCUCUGAAACUGGCUCUACCGAUCCAACACUACCUUGACGAACACAAACCGCCGUCCGCCAGUGGCGGUAACGUCCGCAUCUGGGGCACAUCACCCGACUCCAUUGACGCUGCUGAAGACCGAGAACGGUUCAAUGCGAUGUUAAAAGAGCUACGAAUCGAACAACCGAAGGGUGGGAUUGCGAAAAGCGAUGCUGAUGCGUUGGCGAUUGCGUCAGAAAUCGGAUAUCCGAUUGUUGUAAGGCCGUCUUAUGUUUUAGGUGGUCGGGCCAUGGAGAUUGUUUAUAGUGAUGAGAAGUUGAUAAGUUAUCUUGAAACGGCUGUUGAGGUUGACCCGGAGCGACCCGUUUUGAUCGACCGGUAUUUGUCGGACGCUAUUGAGAUCGAUAUCGAUUCGCUUGCGGAUAUGCACGGUAAUGUCGUGAUCGGUGGAAUUAUGGAGCAUAUUGAACAAGCAGGAGUCCAUUCCGGUGACUCCGCUUGCAUGAUUCCGACAAAAACAGUUUCGGCUAAAAGCCUAGAAACGAUCAGAUCGUGGACUGUUAAACUCGCUAAGCGAUUAAACGUAUGCGGACUUAUGAACUGCCAGUAUGCAAUUACGGGUGCUGGGGACGUUUUCUUGCUCGAAGCGAACCCGCGGGCGUCUCGUACGGUCCCAUUUGUUUCAAAAGCGAUCGGGCGCCCUUUAGCUAAAUACGCUUCACUUGUAAUGUCGGGAAUGUCUCUUAACGAACUCGGUUUCACAAACGAAGUAAUCCCGAAACAUGUUUCAGUUAAAGAAGCGGUUCUUCCGUUCGAGAAAUUCCAAGGAUGCGAUGUGUUUCUCGGGCCCGAGAUGCGUAGCACCGGUGAAGUAAUGGGGAUCGGGACCGAACUCUCAAUCGCGUUCGCCAAAUCGCAAAUCGCCGCAGGCCAGAAACUACCCGUUUCCGGGACCGUUUUUCUUAGUAUGAACGAUAUGACAAAACCGCAAUUAACGAAAAUUGCUCGUGCUUUUCUAGGGCUCGGGUUUACCAUUGUUGCGAGUUCUGGUACCGCUCGUAUUCUUGAAUUAGAAGGUGUUCCGGUUGGGAAGGUGUUGAAGCUGCACGAAGGACGUCCGCAUGCGGGUGAUAUGAUUGCGAACGGACAAAUUAAUUUAAUGGUGAUUACGAGCUCGAACGAUGAUGUUGAUCAGGUUGACGGGCGUCAGCUCAGGCGGAUGGCGCUUGCGUACAAGGUUCCGAUCAUAACAACGGUUUCGGGUGCUUUGGCGACUUGUGAGGCUAUCGGAAGCUUGAAAACGACGAAAAUCGAAAUGGUCGCUAUUCAAGAUUACUUUUUAGAGCAGAAUGCUGCGUGACAAAUUGCAAGCAAAUACAAGUCUAAGUGUGCAGCACAAAAAGCUUUUGAUUUAAGGGGGCAAAGUGAAAAGUGACCCAAACUACAAGGAGGCAAAUUGCAAGACUGCUGCAACAGUCUCGAUAAAGUCGUAGGUAAAACGAACAUAUCUACAGCCAUUUGAAGACAUGACUUCUGGUUUCAAAAUUUUUGUUAGGUUCAGGCGUUCAGCCCUCUAACCGAGGGUUAUUUUCUAGUGUUUUCUUUCCGUACCGAUUUCUUAUUUCUGUGCAUCGGAUUUUGUGUUUGGUGGCUGUAGUCGGGUGUUAUCAUCGUUUUUUUUAACGGCUAAAGCACACUCCCUAAUUCUACUCCCAAGUCAACAUCUUUUGUCUACCAUGGGACUUUGAACCCUUAGCCAUAUGAGAGAAACACCUUACUACACUUUGAUACCGCCAGGCUACAAGCCGUUUGGUAGCAUUAUUAUCACUUGUACGAAUGACGUGUAAGUAUUUAAUCAUUUAAUAAUGCUCAUUUAAACA